rnacentral:rRNA from 1 species
CGGCAGGCCUCAUACAUGCAAGUCGAGCGGUCCUUCGGGACAGCGGCGAACGGGUUAGUAACGCGUGGGAACGUGCCCUUUAGUACGGAAUAGCCAUUGGAAACGAUGAUUAAUACCGUAUACGCCCCAAGGGGGAAAGAUUUAUCGCUAAAGGAUCGGCCCGCGUUAGAUUAGGUAGUUGGUAGGGUAAUGGCCUACCAAGCCGACGAUCUAUAGCUGGUUUGAGAGGAUGAUCAGCAACACUGGGACUGAGACACGGCCCAGACUUCUACGGAAGGCAGCAGUAGGGAAUCUUGGACAAUGGGCGAAAGCCUGAUCCAGCCAUGCCGCGUGAGUGAUGAAGGCCCUAGGGUUGUAAAGCUCUUUCGCCAGGGAAGAUAAUGACGGUACCUGGUAAAGAAACCCCG